rnacentral:rRNA from 1 species
AUGAACGCUGGCGGCGUGCCUAAUCCAUGCAAGUCGAGCGAACGGACGAGAAGCUUGCUUCUCUGAUGUUAGCGGCGGACGGGUGAGUAACACGUGGAUAACCUACCUAUAAGACUGGGAUAACUUCGGGAAACCGGAGCUAAUACCGGAUAAUAUUUUGAACCGCAUGGUUCAAAAGUGAAAGACGGUCUUGCUGGCACUUAUAGAUGGAUCCGCGCUGCAUUAGCUAGUUGGUAAGGUAACGGCUUACCAAGGCAACGAUGCAUAGCCGACCUGAGAGGGUGAUCGGCCACACUGGAACUGAGACACGGUCCAGACUCCUACGGGAGGCAGCAGUAGGGAAUCUUCCGCAAUGGGCGAAAGCCUGACGGAGCCACGCCGCGUGAGUGAUGAAGGUCUUCGGAUCGUAAAACUCUGUUAUUAGGGAAGAACAUAUGUGUAAGUAACUGUGCACAUCUUGACGGUACCUAAUCAGAAAGCCACGGCUAACUACGUG